rnacentral:rRNA from 1 species
GUGAACCUGCGGAAGGAUCAUUAUUGAAUACUACUCGAUGGGUUGUAGCUGGCUCCCCUGGAGCAUGUGCACACUUGUCUUGAUUCUAUUCAUCCACCUGUGCAUCAUUUGUAGUCCCUGAGGGCUGAGAGCGGCUGUUGACAUCAUCUGACUAGAUGGACGAGAGGAUUGCGAGCGCGCAAGUGCAGCUUUCUUCAGCAACAUGCCAUGACCUCCCUUGGGGUCUAUGUUUCUUUCAUAAACCAUGUAGUAUGUUGACGAAUGUAAUCAAUAGGCCUUUGUGUCUAUAGAAUCUUAUACAACUUUCAGCAACGGAUCUCUUGGCUCUCGCAUCGAUGAAGAACGCAGCGAAAUGCGAUAAGUAAUGUGAAUUGCAGAAUUCAGUGAAUCAUCGAAUCUUUGAACGCACCUUGCGCUCCUUGGUAUUCCGAGGAGCAUGCCUGUUUGAGUGUCAGUAAAUUCUCAAUCCCCACUAGCUUUUGCAGUUGGGGCUUGGAUAGUGGAGGUAUUUGCAGGCCCUUUCUUGAAAGGUGUCAGCUCCUCUGAAAUGUAUUAGCGGAACCGUUUGCAAUCCGUCACAGGUGUGAUAGUUAUCUACACCCAGUGGGUUGCUUUCUGAUUGUUCAGCUUCCAAUCGUCCUUGUUGUGGGACAACUACUGAAAUUUUGACCUCAAAUCAGGUAGGACUACCCG